CCUACGGGUGGCAGCAGUGAGGAAUAUUGGUCAAUGGACGAGAGUCUGAACCAGCCAAGUAGCGUGAAGGAUGACUGCCUUAUGGGUUGUAAACUUCUUUUAUAAAGGAAUAAAACGAGGCACGUGUGCCUUUUUGCAUGUACUUUAUGAAUAAGGAUCGGCUAACUCCGUGCCAGCAGCCGCGGUAAUACGGAGGAUCCGAGCGUUAUCCGGAUUUAUUGGGUUUAAAGGGAGCGUAGAUGGGUUGUUAAGUCAGUUGUGAAAGUUUGCGGCUCAACCGUAAAAUUGCAAUUGAUACUGGCAGUCGUGAGUACAGUUGAGGUAGGCGGAAUUCGUGGUGUAGCGGUGAAAUGCUUAGAUAGCACGAAGAACCCCGAUUGCGAAGGCAGCUUACUAAACUGUGACUGACAUUGAUGCUCGAAAGUGUGGGUAUCAAACAGGAUUAGAUACCCGGGUAGUC
rnacentral:rRNA from 1 species